UACAGAGGGUGCAAGCGUUAAUCGGAUUUACUGGGCGUAAAGGGCGCGUAGGUGGUUGCGUAAGUCGAGUUGUGAAAUCCCCGGGCUUAACCUGGGAACUGCAACUUAUACUGCGUAGCUGGAGUGCAAUAGAGGGUAGUGGAAUUUCCGGUGUAGCGGUGAAAUGCGUAGAUAUCGGGAGGAACACCUGUGGCGAAAGCGGCUCACUGGACCAUAACUGACGCUGAUGCACGAAAGCUGGGGGAGCAAACAGG
rnacentral:rRNA from 1 species